AUUACCUCUCUGAACAGUACCAGAAGAAGUUUGAGGAGACAUCCGAGAAUGCCAGAAUAUCUUCUGAAAGACAAGGCAAGGCCAAACAGGAGAUGUAUUCUACCAAUGAGGAGUUCACCGAUAAAAUAAGGACUUUUAAAAGGGAGCCUCCCAUGUUUGAUGAGAUCUGGCCUGAAUAUAACAGAUACCUGAACAUCCUGUUGAAGCGGCCGCCUUCAGAGUGGC